rnacentral:tRNA from 1 species
GGGCCGGUCGUCUAGUUGGCAGGACACCUGCCUGACGCGCAGGAGGUCCCAGGUUCGAGUCCUGGCCGGCCCACCA